GCAGUUAUUUUGCAAAUGUGUAUUUCACAGCCUAUCCUCUUCAUUACUGUAUAUACUGCCUUCCUAAAUGCUGCUGUGUCUAAUGCAGGCGGGUGGAAGAGUUCACACCAGGGAGAGAAACCAGGAGCAAGGAGCGAAGGUACGGCUUGGCCGUCAGGUGGACAAUAUGCGGGCAGACCAGAAGCAGAUGGCUCUGGAGAGCAUCGUGGGGGCCCUGCAGCAGAAGCACAGAAAUUCCCAAGGAUGAAGAUUGCACCUGUGUUUUACGCUACCUGCAGCCAAAACACAAGUGUGUCCCAUUAAUCCUGUUUAAUUUCUGACCCACUUUUUCCUUCACAAUACAAUAAAAUUCCCCCCUCCUGGUCUGCA